rnacentral:rRNA from 1 species
AUGAAUGCUGGCGGCGUGCCUAAUACAUGCAAGUCGAGCGGUAACAGGGUUCACCGUGUUCUUGACACUCCGGGCUAUAAGCGGGAGGUUAGAUUCGAGGGCACCGUGAAGCUGCUGACGAGCGGCGGACGGCUGAGUAACGCGUGGGAACGUACCCCAAACUGAGGGAUAACUACUCGAAAGAGUGGCUAAUACCGCAUGUGAUCUUCGGAUUAAAGCUUUUGCGGUUUGGGAAUGGCCUGCGUACGAUUAGAUAGUUGGUGAGGUAAAGGCUCACCAAGUCGACGAUCGUUAGAUGGUUUGAGAGGAUGAUCAUCCAGACUGGGACUGAGACACGGCCCAGACUCCUACGGGAGGCAGCAGUAGGGAAUCUUUCACAAUGGGCGAAAGCCUGAUGGAGCCAACGCCGCGUGCAGGAUGAAGGCCUUCGGGUUGUAAACUGCUUUUAUAAGCGAGAAAUAUGAUGGUAACUUAUGAAUAAGGAUCGGCUAACUACGUGCCAGCCGCUGC